AUCAGAAUGCUGCGGUGAAUGCGUUCCCGGGUCUUGUACACACCGCCCGUCACACCACGGGAGUUGGAGACGCCCGAAGCCGAUUAUCUAACCUUUUGGAAGAAGUCGUCGAAGGUGGAAUCAAUAACUGGGGUGAAGUCGUAACAAGGUAGCCGUAUCGGAAGGUGCGGCUGGAUCACCUCCUUUCUAAGGAGAAUU
rnacentral:rRNA from 1 species